UCAUCUUUAGAACAGCAAGCAUAAAAGACAUUUCCUUUAAAUGAAUUCACCAAGGAGCAGCAGAUGGCAGAAGGAAAUGGCAGAGAGAUCAGAAGAAGGUUGGGUACAGAGCAGACAGUGUGGUAGUUGUUCUACAUGUGGCAAAAAACUGACAAAUGUCCGGGCAUUGAUACAGCAGUUUCAUGAAGGCAAAAACACUAAACAUGAUGAAUCAGAGUUUAGUGAGAAAGAUCAAGUACAGGCAA